GGCAAUGUAGGUGAGGGUAUUUUGCUGGAGAUCCCUGUGUACUUGAGGUUUUCUGAAGGAAUUACAGCACUGAGGAAUAUUUAAGUUUUGCUUGAUGUCAGGAUCUGCGGAAGAGACAUCUAGGCAGAAGGAAGAAACCCAUAAAUACCCCAAUAAAAUCAACCAGGGGGAAAAAUCACCAGAAGAAUGGAAGUUGAGCAACUGACAUCAGCAAACAAAAUACCUCGUGUGCAAGUCUCAUUCCACAGUCCAUUGCCCAUUGCUUAAAAAGUCUUAGCUAACAGUUGGAGAACGGACAAAGGAAGGGGAGAAAAGAACAAGGACAGUAUUAGUAAAAGCUAGGGUACAUUAUGUAGUCAAUCAGUAAUUGCUGCAAUUGGAGCUCAUUGUCUGCUUAGCACUUAAUGUCUUGGCCUUUUCAGAAUGAGUUUUAUUAACACUGGUGUUUAUGCCUAGUGUUUUUAAAAGAACCUCGGCAGUUGUUAUCUCUGUUGAAUGUUGUGAUGUCUCAAAGUGAAGCUGUUCUCCUCUUGCUGUUGAUUACUAGUUCGGACAGGAGCCAAAAUUGCAGAGCAUGGGUGGCCGACUUGAUUGAAGCUGUAAAUCCUAUUCCAAAUUCUUCAUGUCAUCAAGGGCUGUCAGACCCUUAUAACAUGCCCCUGGGCUCCCCAAGAAGGGACAGUGCCAGGAAUAACUCUGAAGCCCAAUUGCCUUGUGUCAGAUUGGGUGUGGGCUGAAUGUUUCACCGAAUUCCAAGCAAUCUAGCUAUGCUGGCCUCAGUGCCUGCCGUGUCCCAUUUCUGGUUGUUCUGCAGGUUCUUCAACAGCAUAGGCUUCUGCUACAUAGA